UGCCAGCCGCCGCGGUAAUACGGAGGGUGCAAGCGUUGUUCGGAAUUACUGGGCGUAGAGCGCGCGUAGGCGGACUAUUAAGUCGAGGGUGAAAUCCCAGGGCUCAACCCUGGAACUGCCUUCGAUACUGGUAGUCUUGAGGUCGAGAGAGGCGAGUGGAAUACCGAGUGUAGAGGUGAAAUUCGUAGAUAUUCGGUGGAACACCAGUGGCGAAGGCGGCUCGCUGGCUCGAUUCUGACGCUGAGGUGCGAAAGUGUGGGGAGCAAACAGGAUUAGAUA
rnacentral:rRNA from 1 species